ACAGUUUCAGAUUGUUUUUAAAAGGUUCCCCAUGAUACAGAGAAGAUUAGCAUGGCUACUGUGCAAGGAUGACAUGCAAAUUCGUGAACCAUUCCAUAUAUUU
ensembl:snRNA U6 U6 spliceosomal RNA